AAAAUGAUCAAAUCUUCCUCACAAAAGCCGGCCAAGUAAAAUAGAUAAAAAUCACACGGGCUCUUUCCUCGAGAAAGAUGAAUUCCAGGCAUGGGCAAUACCAUCGAUAGUGACUUAUAAAAGCGAUUUCACGUAAAUCUGAAACAGAGCAAAUUAAAUCUGCCGUCUCACAUUUCCGUCUUCCCUCACCUGUUCACACUGACCAGUUGAUCAAAUCGGUAGACUGUUGAGAAGCAUGGAGCUCAAGCCAGGCCUAUCAGCUUUGGUCACCGGCGGUGCCUCCGGAAUUGGUAAGGCACUAUGCUUGGCUCUUGCCAAGAAGGGAGUUUUUGUUACAAUUGUUGAUUCCUCAGAAGAGAGAGGCAAAGAAGUUGCAGGCCUUGCCGAGAAAGAGUGCGCUGAGUUCCAUUCUGGAUUGAAAUUUCCAGUUGUUAUGUUCAUCAGAAGUGAUGUCACUAAUACAGGAGAACUAAAAGCUGCUUUCGAGAAGCAUUGUACAACAUAUGGAGGACUAGAUAUCUGUAUUAACAGUGCAGGCAUCGGCGAUUAUGUUCAAUUCCACAACGAUCAAACUGAUGGGUCUAAGAGUUGGAGACAUGUAGUUAAUGUGAACCUCGUCGCAGUUAUAGAUAGCACUCGUCUUGCGAUUCAAGCCAUGCAAACUGCUCAAAAGCCAGGUGUAAUAAUCAAUCUAGGCUCUGCUUCAGGACUCUAUCCGAUGUUUACAGGCCCUAUCUAUUCUGCCACCAAAGGGGGUGUUGUCAUGUUUACGAGAUCACUUGCUCGUUUUAAGCGCCAAGGAAUCCGCAUCAAUGUGCUCUGCCCUGAGUUUGUCCAAACUGAUUUGGCAGAAAAGGCUGCUGCUUCAUCUAUUGCUCGAUUUGGAGGGUAUCUCCCUAUGAAACUUGUGGUGGAAGGUGCUUUUGAACUAAUCAGAGAUGAGAGUAAAGCAGGGUCAUGUCUUUGGAUUACUAACAGAAGGGGCAUGGAGUACUGGCCAACUCCUGCCGAAGAAGCAAAAUACCUCCUCCGCUCUUCAAAAGCACGCAAAAAAUCUUUGGUUACAGUUCCAAUGGAUCUUCAGAUUCCUCACAGUUUUGAAAAAGUAGUCGUUCACACAUUGAGUCACAAUUUUCGUAGUGCUACCAGAAUAGUGCGCACUGAAUUGAGGUUGCCUCUCAAGCCAGAUCACGUUCUAUUAAAAGUCAUCUAUGCUGG
rnacentral:misc_RNA from 1 species